rnacentral:rRNA from 1 species
AAAUUGAAGAGUUUGAUCAUGGCUCAGAUUGAACGCUGGCGGCAGGCCUAACACAUGCAAGUCGAACGGUAACAGGAAACAGCUUGCUGUUUCGAUGACGAGUGGCGGACGGGUGAGUAAUGUCUGGGAAACUGCCUGAUGGAGGGGGAUAACUACUGGAAACGGUAGCUAAUACCGCAUAACGUCGCAAGACCAAAGAGGGGGACCUUCGGGCCUCUUGCCAUCGGAUGUGCCCAGAUGGGAUUAGCUAGUAGGUGGGGUAACGGCUCACCUAGGCGACGAUCCCUAGCUGGUCUGAGAGGAUGACCAGCCACACUGGAACUGAGACACGGUCCAGACUCCUACGGGAGGCAGCAGUGGGGAAUAUUGCACAAUGGGCGCAAGCCUGAUGCAGCCAUGCCGCG